GAUGAACGCUGGCGGCGUGCCUAAUACAUGCAAGUCGAGCGAACAGAUGAGGAGCUUGCUCCUCUGACGUUAGCGGCGGACGGGUGAGUAACACGUGGAUAACCUACCUAUAAGACUGGGAUAACUUCGGGAAACCGGAGCUAAUACCGGAUAAUAUAUUGAACCGCAUGGUUCAAUAAUGAAAGACGGUUUUGCUAUCACUUAUACAUGGAUCCGCGCCGCAUUAGCUAGUUGGUAAGGUAACGGCUUACCAAGGCAACGAUGCGUAGCCGACCUGAGAGGGUGAGCGGCCCCACUGGAACUGAGACACGGUCCAGACGCCUACGGGAGGCAGCAGUAGGGAAUCUUCCGCAAUGGGCGAAAGCCUGACGGAGCAACGCCGCGUGAGUGAUGAAGGUCUUCGGAUCGUAAAACUCUGUUAUUAGGGAAGAACAAAUGUGUAAGUAACUAUGCACGUCUUGACGGUACCUAAUCAGAAAGCCACGGCUAACUACGUG
rnacentral:rRNA from 1 species